GCGCUCCCUUCGGCAGCACAUAUACUAAAAUUGGAAUGAUACAGAGAUUAGUAUGGCCUCUGUGCAAGAAUGAUACACAAAUUCGUGAAGCGUUCCAUAUAUAU